rnacentral:rRNA from 1 species
UCGAGAAUCUUCCGCAAUGGGGGAAACCCUGACGGAGCGACGCCGCGUGCGGGAUGAAGGCCUUCGGGUUGUAAACCGCUGUCACGCAUUAAGAAGGGGCCAGUGUUAACAGCGCUGGUCCUUGACGAAGGUGCGGAAGGAAGCCACGGCUAACUCUGUGCCAGCAGCCGCGGUAAGACAGAGGUGGCGACCGUUGUUCGGAAUCACUGGGCAUAAAGCGCGCGUAGGCGGCAUGGUAAGUCGGGUGUGAAAUCCCUCGGCCCAACCGAGGAAUUGCGCUCGAAACUACCGUGCUUGAGGACAGGAGGGGAGCCUGGAAUUCCUGGUGGAGCGGUGAAAUGCGUUGAUAUCAGGAGGAACACCGGCGGCGAAGGCGAGGCUCUGGCCUGUUUCUGACGCUGA